rnacentral:rRNA from 1 species
CCCGCAACGAGCGCAACCCUCGUUCCAUGUUGCCAGCGCGUAAUGGCGGGGACUCAUGGGAGACUGCCGGGGUCAACUCGGAGGAAGGUGGGGACGACGUCAAAUCAUCAUGCCCCUUAUGUCUUGGGCUUCACGCAUGCUACAAUGGCCGGUACAAAGGGUUGCGAUACUGUGAGGUGGAGCUAAUCCCAAAAAGCCGGUCUCAGUUCGGAUUGGGGUCUGCAACUCGACCCCAUGAAGUCGGAGUCGCUAGUAAUCGCAGAUCAGCAACGCUGCGGUGAAUACGUU